CAGCAGCCGCGGUAAUACGAAGGGGGCUAGCGUUGCUCGGAAUGACUGGGCGUAAAGGGCGCGUAGGCGGCGAUCAAAGUCAGGCGUGAAAUUCCUGGGCUCAACCUGGGGGCUGCGCUUGAUACUUGGUUGCUUGAGUGGGGAAGAGGGUCGUGGAAUUCCCAGUGUAGAGGUGAAAUUCGUAGAUAUUGGGAAGAACACCGGUGGCGAAGGCGGCGACCUGGUCCUUGACUGACGCUGAGGCGCGAAAGCGUGGGGAGCAAACAGGAUUAGAUACCCCCGUAGUCCCUGUCUCUUAUAA
rnacentral:rRNA from 1 species